CAUAUACCAGAAGAAGAACAGGGGAGAGAAGUCCUUGGCAUUGGCCUUUGUUUUCUUCUUUCUCAUUCCAGACGAGGUCCUGCUCUGUGGAUGGGAGGUCUGCUUCUGGGGAGCCGCCUAGCAGGAGGCUGAGUGGGAGCUGAGUCAUUAAUCACGAUUUUUCAUGAUGUAUUAUGUAACAUGUAAUGCUGUACCAGGCACUAUAAGGAACAGGAAAAAGACAAUUUCCGCUCAAGAAGAGCUAUGCUGUCAAAUAUGUUCAGGCCAGCUACUGUCCUACACUUCCCUCCAGUCUCCAGCUGUUCUCAGGCCUCUGACAUGUCCCAGCCCUCCAGGGGAAAGAAGAUAAAGCUUCAUUCAAGGGCUUCCCAUUCAGGAAAAUGACCAACUAGAGCCUCCACUCUUGUGCUAGUCAGUGGAGGGCAAGAGCAAGCCAACUCCUUCCCCACGAUGGGCAAAAAGGGCCUCCCUUAGCUAGGACAGUCUGCCCCAUGCCCCUCAGUGGCGAUAAGAACCCCAAGAGUCCCAAGCUCCAACUACCAGGGUUAGAAUUGGAAAUAGCCUCCAGGUAAGUCCCUAGGGAGGGAAUCUUGCCUUCUCUGCUCCAGGUUCUUCAAGCUCAGCUCUCCAAAGAGAAGUGGCCCUGCUUUUUGGGGGGAGGUUGAGCUACAUCACUGGACUGAGUGAUAAAGUGAUCACCACUCCAGAGUCAUCAGCCAUUGCCACCUCUCCCAGUUCUCCCCUGCCCUGGGAGCUCAGUGAGAUGCACUGACAAGCAGAGAUCUCCAGCGCCACCACAAAUGUCUGUUUUCUUCAUCUGAGCUCAUAUUCCAACACGUACCAUAUACAUACUCUCAGGGAGGACACUCCUCUAUGAUCAUUUAAGUAUAAAAGCCCAGCAGAGGUAUAGAGUUUAUCAACUACUUUUUUGGAAUGGUUUUAGGGAUGAACCUGAAGGAAUGAACCAGUUAAUCUCCCAAAGUCCCUGUCUACACUGGGUACUGGUGGCUCCAUGGAACAUAUAAUUCAGGCACAGUGAGAUGGCUAGGUGCCAGGGUGGAUAAAGGGCUAGCUGUAGUAAAGAAGGCCUGAGUUCACAUUCUGCCUUUGAUGCUUACUGGUGACCCUGGGCAAGUCAUUUAACUCUCUCAGCCUCGGUUUCCUCAUCUGUAAAAAGGGGUUCCAUAAAACACCUACUAUAUGGGAGCAGUGUGAGUAGCAGACAAGCUAACAUCUGUAAAGCACUUUACAAACCUUAAAACUCAUUAUAAAGGCUAGCUAUUUUCAUUCACCAAGACAUAUCAUGGCUCUUCAGGUCCUUUCUAGGGAAUGAAUGACAGCGUCCUUUC
rnacentral:lncRNA from 1 species